GCAGUCGUAGCCUAAUGGUUAGAGAGUCGGCCUUGCAACCUAAAGGUGAACCUGAAGGUCGUGGGUUCGAGUCCCGGGCCAGCA